GAGAGGCUGAUCCAGCCAUGCCGCGUGCGGGAGGACGGCCCUAUGGGUUGUAAACCGCUUUUGUUGGAGAGCAAUAAGGUCCACGUGUGGAUCGAUGAGAGUAUCCAGCGAAUAAGCAUCGGCUAACUCCGUGCCAGCAGCCGCGGUAAUACGGAGGAUGCAAGCGUUAUCCGGAUUUAUUGGGUUUAAAGGGUGCGUAGGCGGAUGAUUAAGCGUGAGGUGAAAUGCCACUGCUCAACAGUGGAACUGCCUCGCGAACUGGUUGUCUGGAAUGCCCCUGCCGUGGGAGGAAUGUGUGGUGUAGCGGUGAAAUGCAUAGAGAUCACACAGAACACCGAUUGCGAAGGCAUCUCACGAAGGGGUGAUUGACGCUGAGGCACGAAAGCGUGGGGAUCAAACAGGAUUAGAUACCCUGGUAGUCCACGCAGUAAACGAUGAUAACUAACCGCUGGGCGUUCGUGUUCAGUGGCCAAGCGAAAGCGAUAAGUUAUCCACCUGGGGAGUACGACCGCAAGGUUGAAACUCAAAGGAAUUGACGGGGGCCCGCACAAGCGGAGGAACAUGUGGUUUAAUUCGAUGAUACGCGAGGAACCUUACCCGGGCUCGAACGGCAAGUGAAGAGAUUCAGAGAUGAUGACGUCCUUCGGGACACUUGUCGAGGUGCUGCAUGGUUGUCGUCAGCUCGUGCCGUGAGGUGUCGGCUCAAGUGCCAUAACGAGCGCAACCCUUGCCGUCAGUUACCAGCACGUCAAGGUGGGGACUCUGGCGGGACUGCCACCGCAAGGUGAGAGGAAGGGGGGGAUGACGUCAAAUCAGCACGGCCCUUACGUCCGGGGCGACACACGUGUUACAAUGGGCGCUACAGAGGGAAUCUACUUGGUGACAAGAUGGUAAUCUCGAAAAGCGCUCUCAGUCCGGAUCGGAGUCUGCAACUCGACUCCGUGAAGCUGGAUUCGCUAGUAAUCGCGCAUCAGCCAUGGCGCGGUGAAUACGUUCCCGGGCCUUGUACACACCGCCCGUCAAGCCAUGAAAGUCUGGGGCGCCUGAAGUCCGUGACCGAAAGGAGCGGCCUAGGGCGAAACAGGUAAUUGGGGCUAAGUCGUAACAAAGGUAACCA
rnacentral:rRNA from 1 species